CAGGUGGCGAGCCUUUCAGAGAGGGCGGCAGAGUGGAGAGAUGCAGCCCAGCCCUCAGGAAAACACCGUGAUGCUCUUCCUGUGUUCUAGACCAUACUCUUUGCGCUUGCUUUAGAAUUCCCCAAAGAAUUUCGUACUAAUUUGUAGAAUUGCCUUUUUUUUUUUUUUGGUAAGAUACUAUUUUUUUCCCUUUUUGUUUUGUUUUGAUUUUUGAGAUUGGGUCUCACUCUGUCGCCCAGGCUAGAGUGUAGUGGGCCAAUCUUGGCUCACUGCAGCCUCAACCUCUUGGGCUCAAGUGAUCCUCCUACCUCAGCCUCCUGAGUAGCUGGGACUACAGGCAUGUACCACGAUACCCAGCUAAUUAUUAAAUUUUUUGUAGAAAUGAGGUCUCACUAUAUUGCUGGGACUGGUCUCGAACUCCUGGCCUCAAGUGAUCCUCCCACCUCAGCCUCCUAAGUGCUGGCAUUACAGGUGUGAGCCACCAUGCCUGGCCCAUUUGGGCACGGUGGCUAAAAUACGAAAUACUAAAAUACGAAAUUAGCUGGGCAUGGUGGCGCACGCCUGUAAUCCCAGCUACUCAGGAGGCUGAGGCAGGAGAAUUGCUUGAACCCAGGAGGUGGAGAUUGUAGUGAGGCAAGAUGGUGCCAUUGCACUCCAGCCUGGGCGACAGAGCGAGACUCUUACAAAAAAAGGAAGAGAAACUUGUCCCUGAGGUUGUACAGUCAGGACUUCAGGAUGUGAAGUAACAGGUGGGCGGCAGUUGGGUUCUAGAUGUUUCUUCUGAUUUCCUAACUUGUCGCAUUAAUUUCUUCUCAUGGGAAGAGUCCCUGGGCCAUCCCAGAAAGACGGCUGGACUUGGGAACUAAGAUCCCAUCCGCAGCCCUGAUGCUCUCAGGGUCCCUUUUUAUUAAACAAGAGCUGUGGCCGCCAUUCCCUUAAGGCUUUUUGUGUUUGGUUAUGUUUUUUGAGACAAGGUCUCCCUCUUUCGUCCAGGCUGGAGUGCAGUGGUGCGAUCUCGGCUCACUGCAAGCUCCGCCUCCCGGGUUCACGCCAUUCUCCUGCCUCAGCCUCCCAAGUAGCUGGGACUACAGGUGCCCGCCACCAUGCCCGGCUAAUUUUUUUGUAUUUUUAUUAGAGACGGGUUUCACUGUGUUAGUCAGGAUGGUCUCGAUCUCCUGACCUCGUGAUCCACCCACCUCAGCCUCCCAAAGUGCUGGGAUUACAGGCGUGAGCCACUGUGCCUGGCCGUGUUUUGUUAUGUUUUUUGAGACAAGGUCUCCCUCUUGCCCAGGCUGGAGUGCAGUGAUGCAAUCAUAGUUCACUGCAACCUUCUGGGUUCAAGUGAUUUUCCUGCCUCAGCCUCCCAAGUAGUUGAGACUACAGGCAUGCACCACCAGGCCCGGCUAAUUUUUAUAUUUUUAUAAAAGGUUUUUUACCUGAAGCAGGAGAAAGGAGACACAGGAUAAUCACUGCUUUUCAACUAAAAUGGUUUUAUUGAGAUGUUUUGGUUGGAGGAGAUACUUUUUCUGGCAACAUUUCUGACUCAAGGUCCCUCUGGGCCCCAGCUCUUCCCAUGAGACAGUCACAACACUGUUUAAUCAGCUCUGCAGAGGCCAGCCCUGGAGCAGAGGAGGAUUCAGGGCCAUGGAGGGGACCUACUCUGCCCUGUUCUGGUCACUACUUCUCUAGACUCUCAUGCACUAUUGUCUGUAGCAAGUGACAUUUCCACUGGAAGCACAUAAAGAUGGCGACAGCCUCAUUUCUUCCUGAGUGAACUGAAGCCCAAAGAAAGGGGAGGUCCCACCAAAGGGGAAGAGAGCCAGGGCCCCACCCAACAAGGAUGCUGAAAUAAACUACAUGUAAUGCUUUCUAGGAGACAACACAGAAAUCUCUACUCUGAAAUCCAGAAUGUUAAAUAUGGCUCCCCCUCUAUAAGUUAACUGUACAAGCUUAUCAAUCAUUUAAAACCCCAGCAACCAACAAUAGCAAUUAGGAAUCCAAAUUCAUAGCACAAAAGAACACAGAUACCAGUGUUGGACAGUGGUUUUGUUAUGGGGACUGGGUGACAGCUUAUCCUAAAUCCUGCGCAUCCGUCCAUACCAGGAGCCGGGUUACCCUUGGUACCAGGUGCCUGCCCCACAAAGCCUGGGUCGGGAGAGGGCUUGGUGACGGGCCUGCAGCUCCCGUGAGUAACUGUCUUUUCCCAGGCUGUGCACGCAUGGCCAGGUGGUCCUCAGGGUGGCUGGUUCUCCUUCCAGGAGCAACCAUGGCAGGGGCUUAAAAGUUGAGUAGCUCUGGGAAAUGGUCCUUGGAAGGCAGCGAUGGGUCCAUG
rnacentral:lncRNA from 10 species